AUUGAACGCUGGCGGCAGGCCUAACACAUGCAAGUCGAGCGAGUGGCGGAGGGGUGAGUAAUGUCCGUGGAACUUCCUGCUGGCGGGGGGUAACUACUGGAGAAAGUACCGAUAAUCCCGUACCCUCAUGUGUUUCCCGAUGGGAUUUGCUUGUUGGUGGGGUAACGGCUCACCACGGCGACGAUCCCUAGCUGGUCUGAGAGGAUGACCAGCCAAACUGGAACUGAGACACGGUCCAGACUCCUACGGGAGUCAGCAGUGGGGAAUAUUGCACAAUGGGCGAAAGCCUGAUGCAGCCAUGCCGCGUGUAUGAAGAAGGCCUUCGGGUUGUAAAGCACUUUCAGCGGGGAGGCGUUACCCGCAGAAGAAGCACCGGCUAACUCCGUGCCAGCAGCCGCGGUAAUUC
rnacentral:rRNA from 1 species